GCGAAAACUCCACAAUGUACGAAAGUACGAUGGGGUUACCUCGAGUGCAGUCCGAUAAGGGCUGCUUUUCCAUAGAGUAAUAUCCUGUGGGAAUAAGAGGGGGGCAAGACUGGUGUCAGCCGCCGCGGUAACACCAGCCCCUCGAGUGGUGGGGACUAUUAUUUGGCCUAAAGCGUCCGUAGCUGGCUGUAUCCGUCCCCCGUUAAAUCCAGCGUCCUAAGCGUUGGACCGCGGGUGAUACCAUACGGCUAGAGGGUGGGACAGGUGGGCGGUAUUUCUGGGGUAGGGGCGAAAUCCUUUGAUCCCAGGAGGACCACCAGUGGCGAAGGCUGCUCACUAGAACACGCCUGACGGUCAGGGACGAAAGCUGGGGCAGCGAACCGGAUUAGAUACCCGGGUAGUCCCAGCUGUAAACGAUGCUAGCUAGGUGUUGGGUCGGCAACGUGCCGCCCCAGUGCCGCAGGGAAGCCGUUAAGCUAGCCGCCUGGGGAGUACGGCCGCAAGGCUGAAACU
rnacentral:rRNA from 1 species